rnacentral:lncRNA from 1 species
UUUUAGUAGUUAUGGCAACAGGGGCCAGACACAGCUGGUCACACUGCAUCUGCAGUCAGGAAGCAGAGGAGUCGGUGCUGGUGCUCAACUUACUUUCUCCUAUUCAUACAGCCCAGGACCCCAGCCCAGGGAAUGGCGCCGCCCACAGUGGAUGGGGCUUCCAUCUCAAUGAACUUAGUCAUCACAUUUCCUUUGAUCCACGCUAUUGACUUUUAAGAUCCAAAUUCGGUUUACCCUUUGAUCUUGGAUUUAUUCUUGAUGCCAAUGGGCAGCCAGCCUCUCUACCAACAAGAAGGACUUUGGGGGGGAAUGUCUCCAAAACUACAGCUUUAUUCCCUCUGUGAAAACCCAAGUUGGCUCACAUAGGAAACUCAUGGCCUCUGCUCCUUGAACCAUGUUUAAUUGGAGAUGGCAAAUAAACAUUGUCCAGCCCCUGUACCCAGAGGCUGCUGCACUCAUUAAAAGGAGUAAUGGCUAAGCUUUCCCACCAUCUACACGGAUCUUUCUGCCCAUUGUGUGUAUGUGGCGUGCUACCUCAGACUUGCAUUAAUUUUUUUUUAUCAUUCCUUGGUAAUUAACAUUGUAUUUCUGCUGAUAAACCCCGUCAAUAUGGUGAUUUGAUUAGCAAAACAUAAAACUACUCAUUAACUCCAAUUAUGCUGUGCAGGUAUAAUUUGAUUUUGAUUGGCUGGAAAACUGCUGUUGUGUCCCCGCCCCCCUCCUGUGCUUCAUCUUUAAGGUCUCCAGUUAAACAGCGCGAGGAUUAUGAAGCUGGCGGAGAUACGGGCAGAUUUAGAAGGCCAUGCCGACCACCUUACAGAGAAAUUGCCGUGUCUAGGUGCCCACUCUAACUGUCAGAAAUCCUCAUACCAGCCUUUGUGGUCCUGGAAGGAGGCCUAUCUGUGGUAGAACAUUGAAUGAACGAAGGAAUCCAAGAGGCACACUGAGUGGGAGGUUUCAUGUAGCCAAGGCUAGCCUUGAUUUUGUUAUGAAGCUGCAGAUGACCUUGAAGUUUUGGUUCAGCCUCCAGCUUCCUCUUCCCGAGUCUGCCUGGGAUUGCAGGCAUACACCACUGGAACAGGCCCCAGACUUAGUACAACUGAUAUCAUGCUGGAGAUACUACACUGACCUUAGAACCUACUACAUACGUCCAGCAUCUGCCCAACACGGGAACAAAGGGCUAAUUUAGCAAAGUCCUAUUCCAUAGUUUCAGGACCCAGGAAUGUCCCUGAGUGUGCUAACCUUGCCUUUUGGCAUCUGGAGUUCUCCUUCUUACUAACUGUUCUCACUAACCAAAGUGUGUCAACCAGGAUGUGGUUUUUCAUGUAAAAGACAAGGAGUGGUGAGGUUGCGUGAUUUGGCCAAGUUCCUGUACAGUUGCUGACCAGCAAGACAGACUUUCUGCUCAGCUAUAAGAGUGUCCAAGUGUGUGUGUUCUCUGGUGCACUGUGAUGGCUAUUCUUGAUUGUCAACUCGACUACAUUAACUGGACCCCAA